CAAGUACUCCCUCCGCCCGGAAUUACUUGUCAUCAAAAUGGAUGUGUCUAGAACUAAAAUACAUCUAGAUACAUCCAUUUCAANCUAGAACUAAAAUACAUCUAGAUACAUCCAUUUCAAUGACAAGUAUUUUCGGACGGAGGGAGUACAAG
rnacentral:pre_miRNA from 1 species